GAGGGUAUAGCUCAAGUGGUAGAGCACAUGCUUAGCAUGCACAAAGUCCUGGGUUCAAUCCCCAGUACUGCCU
rnacentral:tRNA from 1 species